CUGAAAGGCAAGGAGUAGAAUGGGGCCCGCUUUUCGGGUCUACUUCUUACUCCCAGGCCACAUCAAAACAACAAUGCAGAAAUGCUGAAAGCUCCAGCUUCGGCACCACCUGAGAGCUUGUUAGAAAUGCAGGAUUUCAGGCUCCGCCCCAGGUCUAUUGAAUUAGAACAUGCAUUUUAACAAGACCUCAGCUGAUUCGGUUUGCUCGGUAACCCCAGAGAUCAGAGCGGCUGCCCUGCACUGGUUUGGUCUAUGUUGCCACCUUGAAGAAGGUGUGGGAGUUUUCUGCCAGCAUCGUAUCUUUCUCCUGGAGACCAGGAAAGACUUGUGAUGACCCAGGAUCUGGCAAAGUCCCUGCCACUCAGAGGCGAUUCAUGUUUUCACCAGUGAUGCCGCCAGCUGACAGCCACCUUCAACUGCUAGACAGACGAGCCUUCAGAUGAUUCCAGCCUCCAGCCUUCAAGUCCUCUAGCUGAGGCCUGCAACACUGAAGGGCAGAGACAAGGGCACAGAGUUGUUCUACAUUUUCCAGCCUCCCUUGCAGUUUCUUGGUAGCUAAGUAUUGGCGGUGAAGUAACUGAAUUCUAGCUGAAGAAAUGAGCUUGGGCGUGAUGUGUUCCACUUCCAAGUCUGACCCAAGACCUUCAUGCUCUCUCCCCCACUGCCGACCUGAUGCAGAUGUAUGUGGCGGCUUGAAGUCACAUAUUGAGGCUGGUGGAACCACAGGAUGGAAGGAGUGUAGGUUCCUGAAUCCCUGCUUGGAGGAAAGCCAGCUGCUCAGCAGACUUUCGUGCAACUUUAGAUUGUACACGAGGAAGAAAUAAACUUUGACU
ensembl:lncRNA